GACGAACGCUUGCGGCGUGCUUAACACAUGCAAGUCGAACGGAAAGGCCCUGCUUUUGUGGGGUGCUCGAGUGGCGAACGGGUGAGUAACACGUGAGUAACCUGCCCUUGACUUUGGGAUAACUUCAGGAAACUGGGGCUAAUACCGGAUAGGAGCUCCUGCUGCAUGGUGGGGGUUGGAAAGUUUCGGCGGUUGGGGAUGGACUCGCGGCUUAUCAGCUUGUUGGUGGGGUAGUGGCUUACCAAGGCUUUGACGGGUAGCCGGCCUGAGAGGGUGACCGGCCACAUUGGGACUGAGAUACGGCCCAGACUCCUACGGGAGGCAGCAGUGGGGAAUAUUGCACAAUGGGCGGAAGCCUGAUGCAGCAACGCCGCGUGCGGGAUGACGGCCUUCGGGUUGUAAACCGCUUUCGCCUGUGACGAAGCGUGAGUGACGGUAAUGGGUAAAGAAGCACCGGCUAACUACGUGCCAGCAGCCGCGGUGAUACGUAGGGUGCGAGCGUUGUCCGGAUUUAUUGGGCGUAAAGGGCUCGUAGGUGGUUGAUCGCGUCGGAAGUGUAAUCUUGGGGCUUAACCCUGAGCGUGCUUUCGAUACGGGUUGACUUGAGGAAGGUAGGGGAGAAUGGAAUUCCUGGUGGAGCGGUGGAAUGCGCAGAUAUCAGGAGGAACACCAGUGGCGAAGGCGGUUCUCUGGGCCUUUCCUGACGCUGAGGAGCGAAAGCGUGGGGAGCGAACAGGCUUAGAUACCCUGGUAGUCCACGCUGUAAACGGUGGGUACUAGGUGUGGGGUCCAUUCCACGGGUUCCGUGCCGUAGCUAACGCUUUAAGUACCCCGCCUGGGGAGUACGGCCGCAAGGCUAAAACUCAAAGGAAUUGACGGGGCCCCGCACAAGCGGCGGAGCAUGCGGAUUAAUUCGAUGCAACGCGUAGAACCUUACCUGGGUUUGACAUGGAUCGGGAGUGCUCAGAGAUGGGUGUGCCUCUUUUGGGGUCGGUUCACAGGUGGUGCAUGGCUGUCGUCAGCUCGUGUCGUGAGAUGUUGGGUUAAGUCCCGCAACGAGCGCAACCCUUGUUCACUGUUGCCAGCACGUUAUGGUGGGGACUCAGUGGAGACCGCCGGGGUCAACUCGGAGGAAGGUGGGGAUGACGUCAAGUCAUCAUGCCCCUUAUGUCCAGGGCUUCACGCAUGCUACAAUGGCUGGUACAGAGAGUGGCGAGCCUGUGAGGGUGAGCGAAUCUCGGAAAGCCGGUCUCAGUUCGGAUCGGGGUCUGCAACUCGACCUCAUGAAGUCGGAGUCGCUAGUAAUCGCAGAUCAGCAACGCUGCGGUGAAUACGUUCCCGGGGCU
rnacentral:rRNA from 1 species